ensembl:lncRNA
UGGGGCCAGUGUCUUCUGCUUUGGCCAGGGCAGGUCUGGGUAGUCUCGAUGUUUCCCUUCUUAUACAGCAGAGUUUCCCAAUCUCUGCACCACUGACAUUUUGGGCGAGUGAUGGAGACAGAAAUUGCACCCAGAGUAUAUACAGAAAGAGCGAGAUGUGAGUGUAGUGACCCUAGGUUAUCCCAAAAGAACAGCAGCUCUGGGGAACAGAGACAUGUAGAGCAGGGUUUUGCAACCUCAGCACUAUUGACAUUUGGGGCCAGACACUUCUCUGUUGUGGGGGCCAUCCUGCGUACUGGAGGAUGUUUAGCAGCAUCCCUGGCCUCUACCCACUAGAUGCCCGUAAGACCCCCCACCCUCCACCGCAGUCAGACACUGCCAAAUAUCCAGGGAGAGAGGUCCCUCCUGGUCGAGAAUCAUUGUUCUUGAGUCUCUUCUGUUUAAAUUCCUCUAAUGGCUUCUCACUGCACAGAGGAUGGAUCCCAAACCCCUCACUGGUUGGCACAGUCCUGAGAUCUGGCCCCCGUCUGCUGAGCCCAUCUCCUUCUCUGUCCUGGGUGCCCACCAUGCCCCGGUCCUCCCAGCCUCCUGCAGUUCCUGAGCAGGCCAAGAUUGUCCCCUCUGUGGGGUCUCCACCCAACUGUUCCCUCUGCUUGCCAUGCUUUUCCCCUUGACCUUCCCUCUGCUGGUUCUUCCCAUCCUUCAGGUCUCAGCUUAAGGCUCGCUGGGGUCUGCCAGCCACCUCUACCCGCCCCGGAUCUCUCCUCGCCCUUCACUCACCGCCCCUCCCCAUGGUGAAAGUCUCUGCAUGCCACCUGAUAUCUUUCUAGGUUACUAUUGUCUAUCUCUUCCUCUGAAACAUAAGCUCUGGGACCACAGGGACCUUGUCUAUCUUGAUUAUCACUGUCCUCCCAGCAUCCAGAGGAGUGCCAGGCACAGAGUAGGUCCUCUCAGUGAGUAUUCACUGAAGGAACCAAUGCCCCUCUGCUCUGGCCUCCAGGCCUCAGCUCGAAGUCCCCACAGUGUGCCCACACAGCUAUGCCAGGAGUCCCCCUUGAUUCUCCGGUGGGUUGGUCAAAGAGCUGCUGCCUUUCCAAUGUCUGCUUGGCAGGCUGCUGUAGACGGCAAUUCAGGUUCUGCUCCAGGUUUUGCUCCGUGCAAAGGCAGUCUGUGGAGGUGGUGAAGGAUGAAAUCCAUUCUCUGCAGGGCCAGAUCUGCCAAGAGAGGGCAUCUUCUUCUAAUUCACACGAGGGGGCCACGGGGCUCGCAGUAUCCUUGCCACUCUGGCUGCCUGAUGGUGCCAGCUGCCCAGUCCCAGAGGAACUCCCCAUUGCAGGAGUGGUCCCUUCUGGUGCCCCAGGCCUGGCCAGGCACCUGUGGGAUCCAGCCUGGAUGGAAAAUGCCUGGAUCUUUGCUCUGGACCUGGGAAUCUGCUGGAGGUUGGACAGCACCUCCUCCCCAUGUCCUUGUCCUAUGAGACCUCCCUGCCUCCUCAGCUAUGCACGAGCAGAAGCAGCAGGCCCUGGGACUCUCUGCACCCCCUUCAACCCUACCUGCCAAGGCCAGCUCCAGCUUCCACAUCUCUUAGACUGUCAUCUAAGAAAGAACUGCCCAGCCAGCAGAGCCUGCAAAUCCUGGGAAGUGGCAGAGGGAGAGGCUAAGAGAGCAAAGCCAGCCCGGGGAAGGAGCCUCACCAGUGGCAGGCAGUGAGGAGCAGAGGGUGGAUGCAGGAUCUUGGAGCAAAUGGUCCUGGAGACCUUGCCUAAUAAGUGCCCUUGAGAGAUGCCCCCUCCAGCGUCCUCUUGGGGCAGUGGGGGCAGCUUCCAAAGACUGUUCAGGGCCCAUUCCACAGGCCUCUGACAUCCUGGCUAGGCUCUUGUCUCAGGCCAGUAGAGUCUGGAGGGCUGGAGAUCAGCCCCCACCCCUUUGAUAUAUGGGGAAACUGAGGCCCAGGGCUGUGAGAUUCCAAAUGGAGUGGUCUGGAGAGCAGGGGUCACUGAGAGGGCAGUAUUAGGAGGACGAGGUAGCAGGAGGGCAGCCAGGGCCUCUGAGCUACUCCCCCAGGCCUCUUGGCCACAGGGCUCCCCCAUCCCUACCCAACUCAACCUUUGUCUGAUUUGCUCCCUGUGACAGCUGGGGAGGCUGGGCCUCGCCCUGGCUCCUGCCAUCAGCCAUCUCUGUGUGGCACUAAAGAUGUGUGCGGGAGCCAGGCCUCGGCAGCAAGCUUGGCAGGCAGCUCGGCGUUGCCUGGGAGACCACAGAGGAGGAAAGCUGCUCCACACGGCUACCGAGGGCCAGAUGGCUCGUGGCUCCAGAGAUGCCUCUCCCAGGGGCCACAACCUCAUAUACACCUUGCAGGGGUGUCUCCCAGACACCCAUAAGGCAGAUGGGAAAACUGAGGUGCCAAGGAGUGGAAGGUCUGACUUGUUGACACACUGAGGGUCGGUGGCGAGGAACCAAGGACAGACGCAGAGGCCCUGCCUCCCAGCCCUGGGCUCUGCUGACCUCCUGGACCUGCAACUCAGGAACACACAGCCAGGGGGCGUGCUGGUCGCCAUGGCCAGGUCUCCCAACCCUGCCCCUCUGGAAAGACCUGAGGCUCUGUUAAAGGCCGCUACUAAACCUCGCUCUCUGGAGCAGCGGGAUGUGUAGCCACAGAGUCUGAGGAAAACUCCCAGCUCUGGAUGCAUGCACUGCAAGUGAAUAAGACAACACUGAGAGUUGGAAGCUGGGCUCUUGGCUGGGGUGCCAUCAAGGAGCCAGAACAGGGUGCUGAGAUUGGGUGGCUGUGCCUUGGAGUUGGGGAAGUCCACCGUCUUCCUUCCACACAAGAGGAAAUCGAAGUGUGUGUUGGGUGGGGGGAGAGUGUCAGUCGUUCAGAAAGGCUGCCUGGCCCGGUUCCCCUCCUCAAAGCUGGGAGAAGCAGGUAUGGGACCUCCCUCACACCUCCAGAGACCCACAGGGUUGGGGGGACCCACUAUCCUCAAGGUGGGUGUGGCUGUUUUGCUGAAGGUGAUUCUAAAAUAGCCGUUCCUCAGCUCGCCCGGCCGGCCGGCCGGCCGUGUUCAGUACGCAAGCCUUCCAGCCAAGUGCUUAGAAAUGCUGAGCAGGACAGCCCUGGGUGCUGACCCCGGAGGAGAAGAGGAGCUCACCUCUGGCCUGCCCUCGGGGACCCCCAAGGCUGAGCUGUUGGAAUCCAAUCAGCAGUCAGGAAGAUGGAGCUCUUUGGGCAGCUGGGAGGCCCCAGGCUGGAAUGCAGGAACCUGGGUUCAUGUCCCUGGCUUGGCCACAAACAGCCUUACGUAAGUCAUUCAUCCUUCUUGGGUCUCAGCGUACCUAUCUGUAGAACAGGCAGGUGGAAUAUGUCGUGCGGAGAUUGAAAUUGGUG